GCAAACUGCUGAGAGCCGACUGAGCCCACUGCUGGCAGACAGACAGAAAGCUGGCCCUGUCCGAUGCCCACCGACAGCCGCCGGGAUGCCACCGCAAAGGAGAUCCAGGCAGCGGCUCUCCGGGACCCCCCAGCCUCGCUCUAACCAAGUCCUCAGUUGUCUCAAGAACUGUGUCAUUACAUAGCGGGAUAGAUGGAACGUUCUAAUUCCCUUAUUCAAUUGUAUUAAAUUAUGCAUUCCCACAAAAAUCUCUCCCAUUGCUGCAUUAUUUAAGUAGAAAGAGCUAAAGAAAGAAGACUUCUAUUUUUCACUCUUAAUUCUGAGAUAAUUAUAAAUAUACUGACUUUUUUUUUCUUAAUCACGGAUUAACUUUUACGGAGAUGGUUGAUUUCCUUUUUCUGGAGACUUGAGUUUGACUGAAGCCCUGAACGUGGUAAUAAGAGUCAUGCCUCAUCCACGGCUCCUUGUGUUCACGAGGAUAUCUGCCUGGGCAUUUCUACAGCGAGGACCCCAUGGAGCAAGAGGCCAGGCAGAAGCCGCUGGAGAAGCCCCUGUUUGUUCCUGAGCCAGUGUGUUCGGUGAUCCAAACAAGCCUUCUGGAUGCAGGGGGUGCGCUCUCUGGGGAUGUGCUAGUCACGUCAGCAGGGAUUUGCAAAUGCCCACAGGCAGGAUUUUAGCAAAUUGGACUCGGGUUUCUCUGCUCCCUUACGUUUUGUUUUCCAAAUGCCUUACCCCAGCGUGCGUUGGAUGAAUGCUCCACUUCCUGGCCACCAGAGACUUUCUAGCUGAUUGUGAUAAACCAGCGAGAGAGGAGCUUUCUGUUCAAACAACGGGUCAGUCAGUGUUUACAUGACAGGCAGGCUGUGUAAAUAAUGCCAACGGUCAGAUCGCCCCCACUCUUACCACAGAGACAACGCGGCACAGUGCUUAGGAGCACAGCCUCAAGUCAGGUGCCCUGGGCUUUAGCCAGCCCCGUUUACUAGCUCUGCGGCCAUGGAGGACCACCGCGCCCCACCCCGCGCCUCAGUGUGCCCGCCUUCUGAAUGGGGUAAUAAUAGUGUUCUGCUCACAUUACUGCAUUACAGGAGUUACUGUAUUCAAGUACUUGGAAUGGUAUUGAGUCCAUGAUAAAUGUUACAUGCCUGUGCUGUUGUUGUUAUUAUCAUUGUCCUUAUUUUUAUACGGUGGAUGCCACAGAAAUGAACACCAUAGGCAAGUCACUGAUCAGCUCACCGCCCCCCGUGUCACUCAUCCGUUCGUCUGGGCCUGUGUGUUCCCUCUGCGCCCCCAGGGCAGUGCCAGGUGCCGCUGGGGUGAGACACACAUGGUCUGCACACGUCUGAGCAGUGGGCACAGCACAGGCUCCCUCCUCGGGCUGAGCUGACUGAUUCCUGCCAACGCAGAGCCUUCUCCCGUGGCCUCCCUGUGAGUGUCGUUUAUGGGCUCUGGAAGCAUCCACAGAGAACGUGUCUUCGGCGGGCAUCUUCUGGUCUGCCCAGCUUUCUCCAUGCUUCACAGUCCUGGCAGUUCCUGGGUUUUGUGCAGUAGACGAGCAACAGAUUCAGGGUAUUAUUGGUUUGUUCUGCACCUUAUUUAAGUGCCUCCUGAGCGCAGGUACGUUUUCGGUGGCCAAUGCCUGACACAAGGAGGGAACGCCUGCAUUCUUGCCUCAGCGAUUGUGAUAAAUCCGAGGGCGCUACUGUGCAGUUGGGGUCACGUGGGUCACCACAGUCGCACCUAAGAAAACAUGACAGCAACAAAAGAUGGAGGCAGCUGCCUCUUCAGGCAGGGCCAUUAAUUUCUGUCGCACCACAGCGCCUUCAGCCAACCCGUGCUCUUUUUACUUAUUGCCACAAGGGAGAAUGAGAUUAUCUGGGCUACACCCACUCUGGGCAGAUAAUCAGAUUACCGUGUUUUCUUUCUUUUUCAAAUUUAAUCAAGGGCAGCAUCUGUCCAGCCAA